UUACUCACCUAGAAGGACAGAUACCAGGACCACAAACGUGGUUUUCCCAAAGUAAGACUCAUUCAUCCAUUGCACUCGGGGUUUGAUGACCUCUAGGAAUUCCUCUAAUUCAGGAAAGUCUACUGUGUGAUUUUUGGCGGGGGGGGGGGGGUGAGGGGGGCUGCA